UGGCGAACGGGUGAGUAAUACAUCGGAACGUACCCAGUAGUGGGGGAUAGCUCGGCGAAAGCCGGAUUAAUACCGCAUACGACCUACGGGUGAAAGCGGGGGAUCGAAAGACCUCGCGCUAUUGGAGCGGCCGAUGUCGGAUUAGGUAGUUGGUGGGGUAAAAGCCUACCAAGCCGACGAUCUGUAGCUGGUCUGAGAGGACGACCAGCCACACUGGGACUGAGACACGGCCCAG
rnacentral:rRNA from 1 species